rnacentral:lncRNA from 1 species
AAUGAACUGUGUUAAACUGGGCGUUUUGGGGGGACAUGAUAAGCUCAUAACUGUGCUCUCUCUCUCCAUGGGUUUCUUCAAGCUUUUUCUUCCCUCCCACCUGAGCCUCUUUCUGUGCUGCCAGAACCUGUUGCAAGGAAGAUACUUCAAACAGAGGUCUCCGCAGCCUCUGUCUUCCCUCUGUAGCUGAGCUGCUUCUGCCUCUGCAGGACUCCACUUGAAGGAAGCUGUCUAAAUCCAUGUAAGAGAUCUCCUCGUAUUUUUUUCCCUCCCCCCUGAGGCUCUUCCUCCUCACCAGACACCUGUUCCAAGGAAGCUCCUGCAACAAGGGUGUGGGCUUGUGUCGUGAAGGUUGAGUAUCCAGAGUGACAGUGAAGAAUCCAUACUCCCACCCAAGAGUGGAUUUCAGUGUGCCUGAGAGGAAGAAGAGGAAGACAUCCUGCUGGCAUGUGCCCCAGGUCAGUGCAGCCCCCCUGGGGCUGCCCUGGCCUUGGACACCCCCCAGCUGGAUUUGGUUCCAGAUCUGCUUCUCAACCCAAGGAAAUGCCCUACAGACGGAGUCAUGACUUUCUCCAAGUCUCCCAGUGCACACCCCACCCUAGACCACCCACUACCUGAAAUCUGUCAGAGGCCCCACAUUUUCAAUCUUGUGAGGAGGAUUUACAACAAUCAGCAUCGGAGCAGUCAGAAUUCUUUUUUUUUUUUAGGGCUGCACCCAUGGCAUAUGGAGGUUCCCAGGCUAGGGAUCAAAUCAGAGCUGUAGCCGCCGGCCUACACCACAGCCACAGCAAUGCCAGAUCCAAGCCUCAUCUGCAGCCUACACCAUAGCUCAUGGCAAUGCUGGAUCCUUAACCCACUAAGCAAGGCCAGGGAUUGAACCCAAAACCUCAUGGUUCCUAGUUCUCCAUGACGGGAACUCCCAGUCAGAGUUCUUGACAGCAUGUCCAGUCAUGUGGACUUCAGGCUCCCUGAGCUGUCUGAAAGUGACCCAGAGAUGACAAGGUCCUUCCUAUCAGGUGAGUUAAUUUAGACCUGAGAGUGAGAGGUGACCUAUAACCUAGCCCCCCUCACAAGGCAGACCCCAGAGGGACCCAAACCACCGGCUUGAACCGCACCUCUGCGCUGGGACGCGCCCAUGCCAAGCCACUGGGUGUGUCAAGCUCCUCGUCCUGUAGUGGCCAUCACGACUCCCGGCCAGUCUCGUCCCACACCUCUGUCUCCUGACACCACCUGGUUCCGCGGGCACUGCCCUUAAGCACCUGGGAGCCUGGUGGGGUCCUCCCGUCUCUCUCUCAGACUCUGAGGCCUGCGGAGGACAGUGUUUCCCCAAGUCCUCCACAUGCCUCCCUGCUCCCUGUGUGUCAGCCCUCCUUUGAGUCCAUCAGGGGGACACACUUCGAGUCAGGCAUCCUGAUUCACCCACCCUGCCCCGCCUCACCAGCCUUUACUCUGCGUCACCUGGAUUCAGGUAAGAUGUGCCCUCAGGGGUGCUCGAAAGGCAGGAGAGGCACAGACGGAGGAAGAUCUAAGGAACAAUGCAGCGCACCCCCAAGAGAGAGGGCUCCUGCAUAAGGACAGCCCGCCCACCACAAGACGUCAGCUUUUACACACACUCUUCAUUGACGACCAGCAGCCCAGCUCUCCAGAGGCCAAGCCCUGGACCCUGGAAAACUGCAGGCCCCAAACCCCAGCCAGCCACCUGCGUGCUAACACUCCUACUUCUGGAGAACCCCAAGGCCCUGUGGACCCCAGUGGCACAUACAACGAUGUGGGCUUUGGGUUGGCUGAGUCGACUGAACCUGACCAUGACAUUUGGAGGGCAGAACAUGUUCCCUUUUACCGGGUGUGCCAGUUCAGACGGGAGUCACCUGAGGCCUGUACGCAACCUCUUUUCGAAGGACAUCUCCUGGGGGAUCCUCCCAUCCCCGUCUUGAAACCUUUUUCUUUUUUUUGUCUUUUUACCUUUUCUAGGGCCACUUCCCAUGGCAUAUGGAGGUUCCCAGGCUAGGGAUCUAAUUGGAGUUGUAGCCACCAGCCUACACCAGAGCCACAGCCACAGCAACGCUGGAUCGGAGCUGCAUCUGUGACCUACACCACAGCCAGAUCCUUAACCCACUGAGCAAGGCCAGGGAUCGAACCCGCAACCUCAUGGUUCCUAGUCGGAUUCAAUAACCACUGCGCCACAACAGGAACCCUGAAACCCAUCUUUUAACCUGGAGGUGAUACUACCAAGCCUCGGCUGGGCUUGAAACGUGUUUUGGCGCCCUCUGGUGGCCAUUCUCUCUAAUGACAACUCACAGCCCUGCCUCCAGCUUCCUGAACAGGAAAGAAUGCCCUUGGCUUGUGCUCCAAAUAGUUGAUUUACUCCCUCCUCUCACUCUAAGAACAAUCCUGCUCUUUCUAGGGACAUUAUCAUUCUCUCAAAGUCAGCUAUGGCACUCACUCCUCCCAAUCCUUCCCCACUCUCUAAAUCCUUGAGUCGAACCCAUCCAAAUCUGGUGACAGGAUUUCAAUGAAUCCUGUUCCCCAUUCUUCAUUUCUGGGUUUUGGCCAGAGGUUUGUUUUUCCUCUCCGGGGGGGGGGGGAAAUUAGAGGAGGGGAGAGGCUCUGAACAAAGGAAAAGAAACUUUUCAGAGAAUCCUCAAGAGACCCAUCUCUGGGAUGAAUGCAGCCAGUGGGCUGAUCAAGGAAGCACGGGUUUAGUGCAUUCAAUUCACAAGCACCCACCCACCUGUCCUGAGGGCAAACCCUGCAGAAGCCUGAUUGGGAGCACUGAAAGCAUAGUCCUCAGUCUCAUGCUUUUUGGCUGAGAUGUCAGCCUCUGCGGAAGCCGAAGGCCAUCAGAACUCUAGACGGCCUGUCCAAUCAUCUGGAAUUUAGGCUUCACUAGCUAUCUGAAAGUGACCCACAGAUGAUAAGAGCAGGACAAGUCCUUCCUAUCAGGUGAGUUAAUUUAGACCUGUAACCUAGCCCUCCUGCCAAGGCAUGUCCCGUGGGGAUCCACUUCACCCAAUUCCAGCCUCACCUCUGGGCUGGGAUUUGCCAAUGCCAAGCAGCUGCUGGGCCCUGUCAGUGCUCUGUCGCCCUCUGGUGGCCAACCCCUCAAAUAACAACUCAGAGCCCUUCCUCCUGCCUCCUGACCAAAGCCGUGGAUGCACUGCACUCUCCUCCUUCAGCUGAAGGCCGAACUCCCUCCUACUCUCAUCCUAAGUUCCACCUUGUGCCUUACAGAGGCCAGAAGUCUCUCUCAAAGUCUCCUGGGACUCUCCAUCAUCCGGCCUAUCCAACCCACUACCCUACAUUAUUGGCCGAUCCCACUUCAAGUCAGCUCAACAGCUGGAAAUCCAUAAGCCUGCAUUAAUACAUGUGACCUAGUACACACUCUGGUUAGUUCCUCAGGAAUAAGUUGCAGGAAGCAGUGGGGCAGGUAGACAAAGAAAAAAAAGAAACUCUAGGGAAUAAUUUGAGACUUAAAUCCCAGGAAGGAGCACAUCCCGGCCAGCCCAAGAUGCCACUUCUACACACUCCAUUCAGGUCCUCAAGCGCUGCUUUCCAGAUGCCACCUCUGACCAAGCCCCAUUUUGGUAAAGGGACAUAUGCGAGGCUCAAACCAAGUACCUGUGAAUUCUGGGUUUUCAUGCUGCAGAACCCAGAGGCUGUAAGACGCCCCCCCCCCAUAGCCUGUCAAAUCAUCAGUACUUAGGGCUCCGUGAUCCCUAUGGAAAUGAUCCCUAGUCGUGAAGCAGGAACUACGCACCCACUCCCAGGACAUGUGUUUGGGACUCGAGAGUCAGAAACAACAUGUAACUCAACUGACCUCACUGGGCACGUCCUCUGGGUGCCACCAGCACCCACUCCAACCACAUUUCCUAUGCUCGAGAUGCCAACACGUAACAGCAUCUCAGUAUGUUUGGGCUCCUCUUCCUCUAGUGGCCAUUACUACUCUUGUCCCACACUCUGCCUCCUGACCACACCUGGUUCUGUUGGCACAGUUUUUGUGUACCUAUAAGCCAGCGUUGGUCCUCCUGUCUGGUUCACUCUCUCAGAAUCAUCUAAGGCCUUAUGGAGGUGGUAAUUCUGAGUCCUCCAUAUGCCUCCCGGCUCCCUGUGUGUCAUCACACCUAUGAGUCCAUCAAGGAAACACACUUGGAGUCAGGUAACUGCCUUUACAUUAUUCCCCACAACACCUCACAUCUCCAGCCUUUGUUUUGUGUCACCUGGCUUUGGGUAAGAUGGAGAAAAAGUAAGGCGCAUUGCAGAACACCCUUGGGAGAGGGCUCCUGCAUAAAGACAGCCUGCCCGCCACAAGACAUCGGCUGUACACUCGCUCUUCAGUGAUGACCAGCAGCCCAGCUCUCCAGACCCCUGGACUCUGGGAAUCUGCAUGUCCAGUAAUCCAGCCACAUGCCUGCCUGCUCAGAGUUCUACUUCUGAGGAACCCCAAGGCCAUAGGAGCCCUGAUGGCCUGUCCUCCAACGUGGGCUUUGGGCUGGCUGGGUCGACUGAAGGUGACCCUGAUAUUUGGAAGGCAGAACACUUUCCCUUUUACGGGAUAUUCUAAUUCAGACUCGAGGGUCAGCUGUGGCCUGUAUGUGACCACCUUUUAAUGGACACUUCCUGGGGGAUCAUCUGGCUACAGAGCUGUCUGAAAGGUGGAAAGGGCAGCACAAGUCCUUCCUAUCAGGUGAAUCAAUUGAGACUUGAGAGUCAGCAGCAAACUGUAACCUAGCCCUCCUUGCAAUACAUGCCUCAGGGGGAUCCACCUCUGCCAACUCAAACCCCACCUCUGGGCUGGGAUUCGCCAAUGCCAAGCAGCUGCUGGGCUCUGCCAGUGCUCCUUUGCCCUGUGGUGAUGAAUCAUCAAAUAAGAAUUCAGAGCCCUUCAUCCUGUAUCCUGACCAAAGCCACACUAGCACCACGCUCGCCUUAUUCACCUGAAGGCGCAUCUCCCUCCUACCCUCCUUCUAAGUACAACUGUGUGCUUUACAGGGGCCAGAGGUCUCUCUCAAAGUCUCCUGCGACUCUCCCUCCUCCUCCCUGCCCAUCACCACUACCCCAUGUCAUCCAGCUGAUCCCACUUCAGUUCAGCUCACCACCUGUAAAUACAUCUGGCUGCCUGAAUACAUGCAACCUAUUCCUUGCCAUUGUUCAUUUUCAUGCGUUACUUUUAGCAAGCCAUGGCUCAGUUAGG